GCGGGAGUAGCUCAGUGGUAGAGCACUAGCUUCCCAAGCUGGGUGUCGCGGGUUCGAUACCCGUUUCCCGCUCCA
rnacentral:tRNA from 1 species